UGGUAUUAUGACAUUUAUUGUAUAGGAGAGAGAUACUCAAAUUUUAUAGUUUUUCCAACUAGAUGACUACAACCAUCUUUCUCUUUUGAAUUUGCUACAACCAUCUUCGUUUUUUGAAUUUCAAAAAAUCUGCAUAUCAAGAAUUUACAAAAUGGAAUCUACACUAAAAAAUAUUUCUUCGAUUCAUUUUUUUUCAUAAUUAAUCUAACCAUCUUCCACCUAAGCUACCAACUUUAAAUUAAUUAUGCCAGUC
rnacentral:lncRNA from 1 species